AGUCCAAGCCAACAGUGUCCCCUAUAUUACGUUCAUAUAUAUCCUGAUAUCCUGCUCGACAUGUCAUCUUGGUGAAUACCUGUGGAGGUCGAGGAAGGGAGAAGAUGAUUAGAAGGUGUUUUUACAUGGAUAUAUAAACUUAAUAAACGGAAGAGUUGCAUAUAAAACAAGGACUUGGAUUACACAGAACAAAACAACAUGAAUUGGUUAAGGCAAACUUUUAAAUAUUUUGGGUGGUUCUCAUCGUCAGAUGAACAGCCUUUGAAAGACGAUUUUCACCGGCGAAACCUUGGUGCUUAUAGCGAGGAAAACUUAUCCAAGAAAACACCAGAAACUGUGGAAACGAUCAAAACAUUUGCUAAAAAGUAUCCGUUAAAUACCAGCGAACAGUCGGGGGAAGUGUCAACGCCUCCUGGAAAUGUGUCCGGAGCCGGAAAUUCCCCGAAAGGAGCGGAGACAACGAAUAAAGAAAACAGUGCAAUACAGAGUGAUCGAUUAAUACACGAACAAAGUGAUAUUUUAAUAGACAGGACUCGACUCGAUGAGGUAGAUUUACACGGUGAUACGAUUGAUAUCAUAGAUUCUUGUGAAUUAACUGAAAACGAACCCACGGGUGUAGAGGUGGCAGAAAAACAAGAGAAAAAGAAAUCAAAACGUGCUAAGAAGGUACGGAAGCGAGUAAGGUGGGUUGUAAGAAGAAGUUGGAAAUGGUUAAAGCGUGGCUGGUCAGGGUAUGCACCAGGGGUGGCAUCAGGUUUAAUGUAUUGUUCUAAUGCCCCGGCAACCAUCUUUAAUAUAUAUAACAAUAAAUAAUCACAAAUCUGGCGUAUUUCAGGGGUAAUCUGUUGUGAAAACAAUCGUAAAAUAUGUAAUACGCAACUUAAUCGCGCGCCCUGGCGCAUGUAUGACAAUCAGUGAGAGCUUAUUAAUGUUAUUUUACAAGCAGCAAAAUAGUACAGAUUUAAUACAUUAUGUCACUUUCAUAUUGCCACCAAAUGACUGGUUAUACUGGAUAAAGGGUUUUGGUUAUGAAUAUCCGGUAGUGCCCUUUCAUAUUGCCAGAAAAACAACUGGUUGUACUGAAGAAACGAAUCUAGUUACGAAUAUCCAGUAAUGCUCUUUCACAUUGCCAAGAACACAACUGGUUAUACUGGACACAAUCCUAGUUGUGCAGAGAUGUGUUUUUACAUAGCAGAAAUCCUGAAGAUCCAAGAUGGCCGCCAUAAUAUAUUUGGAGGAAGUGGUAAUAAGUAAUAUUUGGGGAAAGGCUUUUGUCCGGAACGUGCAACGUAUAUCUCAAAAUGCCUAACUAUUAGCUUGGCGACAUAUGAUACCCAAGAAGAUAAUUUCUUAAAUUUAAGGCUCGAUUCGUCAUUCGCAUUUUCGCUAAACUACCAAAUUUCUCACGGCUUAAUCCACGCUAAACAUUUAAUUAAGAAAGCAAAUUAAAAUACCAACGCUAGAUAAUCGAUUUAAUCAGAUUUAUAAGAGGUCUAUCAUUUAAUUUUCGUGGACAACAAGAUGGCGGCGGGCGUAUUAUACAGCGAGCAGGCGGAGCAACAUAGAUCGAUGAAAUUUCAAUUAUACAUAUCUUUGAAAUGGGGUUUAACGUCCUACUGUUCUGCUCAUAACCUGGGCCAAUGAAGACGGGCAUACGCCAUACAGUGUGCUGUGAGGGAAAUUUUGCCCGGGUAGCGGCACUAUGGCCUACUCUUAUAUCGAAUUCCAAUUGUCAAGGGAUCUUUUAUGUGCACGCCAGUGUAUACACGGGUCCUCGGUUUUUCGUUGACAACGAUACGUGUCGAAACGUCGCGCUUUUAGAAUAAAAUCAGUGAUUGAUAACCCAUAAAAAUUGUGUUAUGUUUGGAGAUUCAUCUUUCACAUUAUGUGAGCUGCUCCCACAAAACCAGACUCUUGAACAUUUUUAUAAAAAUAGAGCUGGUAGCAUAUCUGAAUAGUAAACAGCCUAAGCUUUCCAAAAAUACAAUUCUUUUUAAUGUUGUCGUAUCAUCUAGAGUUCGGCUCAUUCAAAGCAACAAGAAGGCAUACAGUUAAUGUUUUUGUGCCCGUAGUACAAAAUGAAGUUGUGCGAGAAGCUCCAGUUUUCGUGGGAGCGGGUCACAUAAUGUGAUUCCUAUAACACAUCGAGAAUUUAAAGUUGCAAUUUCAUAUUUUUAAGUUAUAUUUUUAAAAUGUAUUAAAAUAAAGCCUUAAAAUAGAUGGUAUCUAUAAACAGUCCUACCUAGUUAGGAAUAAUCCUAUUAAUCCUAUAAUUCACUAUUGCCAGUUGAGAAAUUGGCAAAAAUAUCUUUUUCAACUUCAAAUUCAAACGUUUGAAGAUAGCUAUUCCAUGGGGGAAUAGAAAAACAAGGGAAGUAAUUGUGUUAUUAUUUCCUGUGUCAAUUAUUUUGAAGUGGGAGAAUAAUACCUAUGAUGGUAUAAUAGUGAGUCGACAACCUAUUGAGCAAAAGACAUAGAAAUAAUUAUGUUUUGACUUUCUUAGAAAAUAUGAAAUUAUCGCUUUAAGAUAGCUAUGGAUCUGUGUUAUGUUAUUCGGAAUGACUUGUAUUAUCAUACUUACUAUUCAAUAUGCAUAUUAAUUUAGAUAUUUUAACAAAUUAAGCAGCAAUAUUCUCGACAAAUCCUCAUUGUUAAUCCCGGGAUAAAUUCGCUUACAUUAAACGAUAUUUUGGUUGCCAUCUAAUUUAAGGGUUAUUAUGACCAGCGUCUUCCCCUCGGUCAUUUGGAGCUAGUUAUCCUUGGUAAUAGCCCGAUUAUUGUAUUACUGUAUUAAAGCGAGAGAGAGAGAGAGAGAGAGAGAGGGGGGGGGCGGAUCGGUUGGACAGGCGACCCUACUCCUGUCGGGAAUCGAAACCCCGCCAGUUUACUCAAUGACAGAUCUUAUGAUACAGCGUGCACGUGCUACCCCCCCCCCACACACACACGUAUUAUAGCAAUGAUCGAGGCUAGAUACCCCGCCAACACUUCUUUUACCACAUGACCGACCUUUAAGUGUGGCGUCGAUAGCACGUGCAUUGUUUACAUCGGACAUAGUAAUACAAACUGAUCCGAGCAGAAUUGGUCCCUUUUACUCAUUAUGUGCCUCCGCCUACUGUUUUAUAUACCCAUUUACAAAUGUCGAGAUUGGCCACGAUAACCAAUAAAAUAUAAUCUGGUAUUUACCAGGGGCAGGUAACUCUAGUGGACUGGGAGAAAAGCUAAGACUUCCGCAAUAUUUACAUAUCUGAUAGUAAUAAAAUUGCUUGCCAGAAACAACGAUGUAUUUUAUUGUAUUAUGUUAUUCUUUUGUCUAUUUGAAAAAUAAUUCUUAAAUAAAAUAUUUGAAAAUAAUCAUUAAAAA